rnacentral:rRNA from 1 species
UACGUAGGGGGCAAGCGUUAUCCGGAUUUACUGGGUGUAAAGGGAGCGUAGACGGCAUGGCAAGUCUGAAGUGAAAACCCAGGGCUCAACCCUGGGACUGCUUUGGAAACUGUCAAGCUAGAGUGCAGGAGAGGUAAGUGGAAUUCCUAGUGUAGCGGUGAAAUGCGUAGAUAUUAGGAGGAACACCAGUGGCGAAGGCGGCUUACUGGACUGUAACUGACGUUGAGGCUCGAAAGCGUGGGGAGCAAACA